rnacentral:rRNA from 1 species
ACUCAAAGGAAUAGACGGGGACCCGCACAAGCGGUGGAUUAUGUGGAUUAAUUCGAUGCAACGCGAAAAACCUUACCUACCCUUGACAUGUAGCGAACCCGGUGGAGACAUCGGGGUGCCCGAAAGGGAGCGCUAACACAGGUGCUGCAUGGCUGUCGUCAGCUCGUGUCGUGAGAUGUUGGGUUAAGUCCCGCAACGAGCGCAACCCUUGCCAUUAGUUGCGACAUUUAGUUGAGCACUCUAAUGGGACUGCCGGUGACAAACCGGAGGAAGGUGGGGAUGACGUCAAGUCCUCAUGGCCCUUAUGGGUAGGGCCUCACACGUAAUACAAUGGCGCAUACAGAGGGCUGCGAAGUCGCGAGACGGAGCCAAUCCCUUCAAAGUGCGUCGUAGUCCGGAUCGGAGUCUGCAACUCGACUCCGUGAAGUCGGAAUCGCUAGUAAUCGCGGAUCAGCAUGUCGCGGUGAAUACGUUCCCGGGUCUUGUACACACCGCCCGU